GGCAAGACUGGACCACCUGGCACCUUCAACAGGACUGUUUUGAAGAGAUCUCUGUGACAGAAUGACAGCCAGAGAUAUUGCUACAUCUUGCACGUGCGGGCUCCACGGCUCCCGAGAAACCACAGUGUCCCGUGGGAACACCCGCCCGCAGCACCUGGGGACCACGAAGAUGGAGACAGGACCCGUCUCCAGGGAGUGGAGAAAUGCAGGCCGGUCCCCCAGCCCCUCCCAGGGCCCAUCUGCUGAGUGACAAUCUCCUCCUAAUGAGAAGCAAUAAAGGCUAAUUAUCCACA